rfam:Lyngbya majuscula 3L genomic scaffold scf52113, whole genome shotgun sequence.
AAUUGAAGAAGGCUUGCGCUGAAGACAGCAGGAGUAACUAGCUUAAUAUCCUGCCGAGGUUAAAGUACUAUGUAUCAUCUGCCCAGGCACUGAUCCUACAGUGAGUUCUAUAGCGGUAAUGAUACGACCCUUAACCCCGGCCAAGUCUCCGGGGUUUUAGUUUGGUUAU